CCACUCCUCCAGCCCACACUAUAAAUAAGUAUGAGUGUGUGACUGCCUGAAACUGUGUGUGUGUGUAACUGUCUGCCUGAAACAGUGUGUGUGUGUAGCUUAAAAUAUACAGAAAAAACAACAAUAUAUGUGAACACAACCCCAGUGCAAAUGAUGUAAUAUAGGAGCAAACCAAGACUUCCCUUAUCUUAAGGUGAAGUAUCCAGAUGAAUCCCCGAAGACUUCCUC